AGCAGAACCCUCCCUGCUCCCAGGCGGCUCAGGGGGAGCUCGGUGUUUGCCUCCAGCCCUUCGCUACCGAGGAUCAGGUUCCUCCCCUCCUCCCCCUCCAGCUCCGGCCGCCGCCGCCGCCUCCUUCUUGCAUGACACAGCAGAACCGCAGCUGCAGCAGCAAGUCCAAACCAUCCGCCCAGGAAGCGCCGCAACCAGGGCUUGGGAGGAGCGGAUGGGGCAAGGCAGGGGUCUAACCCAGGGGUAGUCUUGGACCCACUUUCCACCAUAAACUCCCUCUUUGCCCAGGGCAAGCCGACAAAAUGUGGUUCAAGCUGACCAGGCCGAGCCGUGGAGGAAUGCUGGGGUUCGCCCGCAGAAGGGAUGGGACCAGAGAGGAGGGGUAAAGGAGACCCCAGUAAAGGGCAGGCCAUUUCAGGUGAAGAAAGGUCAUGGCUUCAUACCUCACUUCCUGACACAAACAAGUUUUUACUGUUGUCAGCAACAAAGCCCUAAUAUAGCCGCGGAAGAGAAAAACUGCCUUGCAUUUUGCCUCUUGAGAGCAUCAUCAACAGUUACCGGAGGAAUGUAAUUCCAGAAAGCUCCGAAACUGGUAGUGAUGGUAAUUAUGGACCAAAUGCCCGGUUCUGGUUGUUAUUUUCUGGGCAUUUCUGUUCUACCAACGAUCUGCGAGUGAGCUCACUGAGAGGGCAAAUCUGGCUUUUCUUUUUGACUUUGUAAAAUUUAAUCAGGCCUGAUAGGGAACUCACAGCUCUUGGGGGAAAAUAAAGUAGGAACCACGAAAUGUCAUUUUAACAGAGCGUGGGCUUGGUGACUGCAGGAAAGGAUUUAAGGACGCUCCUGUUCCGCUUGCUGUGUAAUGAGCACUGGCUCCACGCACGCACCGACGCCAUAGCUCCCGGAUGCAGUGGCUCCCUUAUCUGGGCUUUCGCAGCGCCACAAGCCCCUUCGGGAUGCUUCGAGGGGCUCCUGGUGGGUGGUGGUACAAAUGCUGCCGCCGCCGCCGCCGGCGGUCCUGCUGCUGUUGUUGCUGCUGCAGUCACGUGGGAGCCCCUUUAAGUUUCCAUAGAGAGGCCUCUCCGGUGUCACAUGAUGGACAUGAUAUAAUGAAACAACAUUGUGGAGAGGAAAGCAUUAGGGGAGCCCACGGCUACAAAACAAGUGAGAAGAGGUGGGAGAAAGAGAAACUACGCCACCUCCUCUGCAGCCGAGCGCACGCAGCAGCCUGGCGUGACAAGUGGGCGACGCCAGGGACAGAGAGUGGGGGUCCUCCGCCCGCUCCGGGGACCCUGUCGCCCACCGUGGUGCGCUGAGCAACUUUUAGCCGGCAGCCCCGCACCUGUCUCAGAGUCCCCAUCGCUCCCCACCAACCAUCAUGGGAAAAUUCUAGAAGAAUACGCUCUCGGAAUCUACGUGCGCAUCAUUUUCCUCCUCACUCCAGAGGAAGGAACCAGAAAAGAGAGCAAAGCGGUGUAGUGUUCAGCCUCAAGGCAUCUCGUUGAUUCCUAGCGUUAGAAGAACUGAGCUAACAGGAGUCUGCCACCUCUCUGCCUUGCUGAUGCACCCAGGCAGGGCUCACUGGUUUGCAGGAGUACAUGACCACAGAUCAGAGCCAUUGGCUGCACAGAUACCUGACUCUGGGCUCUCAGGAAGACUCAGGCAGAGAUGGGGAGUCGGCCUGCAAGCUGGGACGCUAGAGCUCACGUGCAGUUCUCCAUUUAGCUAGGAGGUUUCCAGGGCAACCACCGAAGCAGUAAUUAAAGAUGAAGAGCUAAAAGAGAGAAGAAUAGCAGCAACCUGGUCUCUUUUCACGGAACACAGUAAGCCACCAAAGAGGUGUGGACAGCCAGCGACCUCCACGGAAAUCAUGAAGAUGUCCUUUCUGUUCCUCACUGCCUUCUGCCACAGCCCCUGGUCGGCAAGUGACCAAUUAAAAGGACCAGCCUGUCAUUCAGGAACAAUUGACAGAGGUCUAAGAUGUGUGAGAGAGAAGACAAAGGAGGCAGAGAGAGAGAGAGAGGUGCUGGCCAGACUUGGUGACAAACAGGCCUGACACAGUGAAGACGAAGGUUUUCAGUUGGUGGCUUGAUCAGACAUUUUCUCAAGAUGAAAAUGAGACCUUGUCUUUAAAAAGAAAAGAAAGUAAGUAAGCCCUGUGGAUUCAGAAAGCAAAAGUCUCCCACUGAAGAGCUGUCACAGCUGACCUAGCCCUGUGUGUCGAGCUGUGUGUCCUUAGAUCUGCCUGUUUGGAUGAGUUCUUGGAAUUACGGACCUCUCAGCAGUAGUAGCUGGUGGUUUCCAAUGCAGAAGGUUACUAUUUGAAUCAGCUCUCCUCUGGGUGAGUAGGUGGUAGUUUCCCAAGGUGUUCAGCAACUUGAGCCGUGGAUUUAAAAGACUGCUGGCAGCUCUUACACACUUCUGCUUCCUGAAGCCCAGUGGAUGGUUCUGCCGAGCAGCAGGAGGACCCUGGGGUGUGUUUGAACAGUGUGGAUGAUUGAAUUACCACUCUGUCUUCUGAAUAUGGAGAUCUUUUGAGGAGGAGAAGGUAUUUUUGCAGAAGGAAGUGGUUUUAUUUGUUUUAGGGGGAGCUUUCAGAGGGGUAACUAUUGGGUUUCUGUUUUAAGCACUAAGACCCUUCUUUGGUGUGAAGGAGAUAAAUGACUUAGGGUCUUAACAGAGAAGUUUUUCUGUAACUCUGAGGAAGCUGUAUGGCACUACUAGCAGUAGCCUCUGUCCAAGGAGGAUGCUAACCCCAGCAGAGACUGACUAUCUGACAGUACCCACUCUGGGUCUGCCAGGCCCCAUGGGCUCCUGGGUUAGUGGGAGCACUUUGUGCAGGGCAGAGAGAAUGAGCCCAGUUACUGGAAGCGGGGAGUGUAGCUGCAGGGAUUGUUCUCUCAAGUGGAUCAGUUGUUUGACCUACUGACUCAUUUCGUAGGAAUUGGGAAAACAACCUAAUGUGGUUUUAUUGUCGCUGUUCAGGACUGCAGGGUCUCAGCCUGGGAUUGUGAUGGGCUGGAGGAAGGUGCUGCUAGCAUUCAUGCUUUCUGCUGGCCCGCUCUUGGCUCUCCUGUGGAAUUCAGUCCUCUGCUUCCAGGACAAGCCCAGCCUGCACUUGGGGAUCCUUGGGUGACCGUUCAACCGUGAGUAUUUUUUUUGAAGCUCACUGAUUCUUGCUUAAAAACUUAUAAAUGGCAUUUCAUCAAAGGAAGAGCUUCAAAGAACUAUCUUUGCUGGUUGUCGUGUGUGUAACACAUUUCACAUUUACUAUGAAGAGGACUCUGUGUGUGAUCCUGACUACAGAAGCACACAUGACCUACAGAUAACCAUGGGAGCUAAGAAUUAAGAUUUUUUUGUUUGUUUUUAUAGCAUAUACAUAAAAAUGAAGUUGUAGUUUUAUUAUUUAAAGCGAAACGUGAGGUAGAUCCGUAAGAUGCACAUUUGAGGAAGUGACAUGUCUGUGUGCAGAGACUUGUGAUUCCUGGUGCUUUUCUUUCUCACCAGUGCUAGUAAAUAAACCUCA
rnacentral:lncRNA from 1 species